rnacentral:tRNA from 1 species
GGUUGUGGCUCAGCGGUAGAUCGCUCGCCUCUCAUGUGUGAGACCCGGGUUCAAUCCUCAGCACCA